rnacentral:lncRNA from 1 species
GGUUAUUUUAUUACAAAUUUUGUACAGGUGGCACAUGGCUGCAGCAUAUGGAAACUUCCUCUGGCUUUCCCUGGUCUGAGAAAAUGGUGUUACAAAUGAGAGAGCAUUGAAUACAUCCUGGGGUCACGGGCUGCGUGUCUCAGGGUAAGCUCCGCUGCCUUUGAUCUAGCUUUGCACAGCUUUCCAAACAGCAGCUCUUGGUGGCGAUGGUCCCGAUACCUACGUGGUUUGCAGUACAGGCAGUGGCUAUAAAUGGUGGCAGAGGAGAAGAGGCUUCACAGAAUAGAGUGGGUGUGUAAGGAGAAACAUCUGCAAUCCAAAAACCAGCCAAGCCUGGUGCUGGUCUGCUGCCUCUGA